GUUACUAUAGGAGACUGUCGUCAAAGUUGCUGCUCCACUUCCUUCAUUCUUCCUUUCAUGGUCAAUUUUAUGGGGUUGCAUGUCAAAAAUUGAGGUUGCUGCCGAACCAUCAGAGUUUUCGGCCGCUAUCGAAGCUGCUGUCCGGUCAAUCUGGAAGCUGUUAUUAUGUUGUUCUAUUUUGUUUAUCAUGAUAUGUGGUUGUUGCCGUGAUCCCUGCGGUUGCUUGAGAAUUUCUACGGUUACUGCCAAUUAACAUGAGAAUAAGGAUUUAAUGGGUUUAAUUAGGCAACUUGCGACUAAUCGGGGUAGGGGUUUUUCUUAAAAUCUAUUUUACAUUAUAGAGUUGUUAUAAAUAGAUAUUAAUGUGAGAAACAUAUGUCUGUGAUUAUGAUUGUCUUAUAAAUGUGGUUGUUUGCUGGACUGAAUGACUGGUUGCUUGAUUGCUUGAGUAGUUUGUGAUUGCUGAAAAGAAAUUAGUUUAAAAAGUUAUUUAGUUGAUUAUUAUGAAAAAUGGCUUUCUUGAUUUUGAAGCUAUUUUUGA